AGGGCAGAUGGGUGUAGCUGGCAGGAGGCGGCCCAGAGUGCUGUCUAACCUCAAUUCAAGGAAAACUUGGGUGCGUCGGAUAAGAUAAAGAAAACCAGCAAGCCCAGGAGAUAAACACUGCCUACGGAGUGAAAAGGCUGUAACCUCCCCGGGCCCUGUCUCCGAAUUCCAGCAAGCCGUUACUCAAUGGCCUACUUCCCCUAACCGCUUCUUGGUACAGACUUGAAGAGGAAGCGCAGGAAGUGGUCAGUUGGGAAGCGGUUCUUCCAAAUGUAGGCCAUGGGAGGCUUGAUUCCUGACACUGACCACAAUUGAAGUUCUAUGGUUCUCAGAAGGAUCAAGAUUUAAUUAAAAAAAUAAACGGGAAGCACAUGAUAAAAAAAUGUACGGAAGGGGAGAUAGGGACUACUGUGUGCUGGGGGGACAAAGGGAAAUCCCACCCUCCUUAAAUCAAGAGUUCCAGAUCAAAUACUAAAAGUAAAAUUACAAAAACUUUAAAAUAAGUCAAGUUUUUUUUUUUUGUUUGUUUACAGUUGGAAGAGAUCCCUAAGCAAAAGAUAAAGGGAAAUAUUAAUAAACCUGCCUAUAUUAAAACCCUUGUUGUCAGGUGUGAGAGCCAAAGUUAGAAGUUUUAAUUAUUGUCCCUAAGAAAGCCAUAAAACGAAAGUGCUUCUGACCUUUGAGCCCUUGUGGAAGAACGGAUACUUCCUGAGGAGGCUCUGCCUACAUCUGACUCGAGUCACGAGCGUCACUUCCUUAAACAGGGUCGGUCAACCCAGCUGACCAGAUGCCCUCGGUGACAGCUGCAGAUAGUUUAAUUCUGAGGACUCUGCGAGGGUAUAAAUGCCAGAGCCCAGAGACGGACGGGAGAGCUUGAAGGAAGAAGGUGGCUGCUGCUCCUGCUGCUGCUCCUGCUGCUGGUUUGUCCUGCUGCUGCAUUUGCUGUUGUUGUUUUUCUGGACUGCUGGAUAUCCUGACUACAAAGAUUGUACUUGUCCCAAGGAACUAAGUCUAAAGAGGUCUCCAUCCCUGUGCCCUCUAACCUGUGCCUUCUCUCCUACCUAGAGUUGUGGGGUUGGAAGAGGUAGAAGAACCCAAAUAAAAUAGAAUGAAAAGCACCCACUCUA